CUGAGAUUGCCCUGCAACCGAAUGGGAUCCGAAGCAUCCUGAAGAUCCCAUCCAACUCCUAUUCUGACACGUCCACGUCGUGUAGGGUGGUAACAUGGCCCGAAUCCAACCUUCUAGGAGGGUGACGGCUCAUGGCUAAAGAGGAAGGG
rnacentral:ribozyme from 1 species